GGUCAUGUGGCCUAGUGGUCAUGGCAUCUCUGCCCGGUAAGCGGAAGGUCGUGGGUUCGAUUCCCAUCCCUUGACACU